rnacentral:rRNA from 1 species
AUACGUAGGGUGCGAGCGUUGUCCGGAAUUACUGGGCGUAAAGAGCUCGUAGGUGGUUUGUCGCGUCGUCUGUGAAAUUCCGGGGCUUAACUCCGGGCGUGCAGGCGAUACGGGCAUAACUUGAGUACUGUAGGGGAGACUGGAAUUCCUGGUGUAGCGGUGAAAUGCGCAGAUAUCAGGAGGAACACCGGUGGCGAAGGCGGGUCUCUGGGCAGUAACUGACGCUGAGGAGCGAAAGCAUGGGUAGCGAACAGGAUUAGAUACCCUGGUAGUCCAUGCCGUAAACGGUGGGCGCUAGGUGUAGGGGUCUUCCACGACUUCUGUGCCGUAGCUAACGCGUUAAGCGCCCCGCCUGGGGAGUACGGCCGCAAGGCUAAAACUCAAAUGAAUUGACGGGG